rnacentral:lncRNA from 1 species
GGAGCGGCAGGGGAGGCCGGUGAGGCCCAGGAGGAGGGGUGGGAAGCAGGGGGAGCCAGGAAGCCCUUGUCAUCCACGCUGUGGAAGCAUAAGUGUCAGGAAGGCUCUUGGAAACCCCACAGACAGCGCUGGGCGGGAAGCUGAGGACGGGAUGGAGAAGAGGCCCUUGGGCCUCACUGAAGCAGGGGGAGCGAGGCCCCCAAGCUCCCGAGGACAGCUGCGAAUGGAGGGCAGGGGCGGCAGUUUCCUGAGAGACAAGACAAGAGGAGCAGGCGGAGGACAGAUGGAUGGACGGACGGAGGAGUGAUAGAUGGAUAAAUCAAACGGGUGCAUUCCGUUUCCUGGACCGUAGCCAUGGGCUCCAACCUCUAAAAGUACAUCAUGGACAUCUUCAUGGAGAUGCCCCCUUGCUAAAAUCCAGCACUGAUUAAAAAGUGAAUGUAAAUUCUCUCUGAUGAGCUUUUUAUCAUGUUCAGAAGAAGGAGAAGUCUGAUAUAAAGUAGUAAAACAAGAAUAAACAAACCUAUAAUUUGAAGUAGCAGCUCUGGGAACAAUAACAAGGUUUUCCAAUCUCCCAGAUCAUAAUUAACAGUGUAAAGAAUUAAAGGGAAGUUCAGGAAGGAGUGCUUAAACCUUUUUGUAAAUUUAAAAACAAGUAAUGAUCUCCAUUGCUGUUCUCCAGGUUUAUUCAAAUUUGGACAAUUAGGACAAUUAAACAUAAAACAGAGACAGUUCUAAAGAGGGAGCUGCAACAAAGCAGAAUAAUUGCUGGUACGGGCUAUCAAAUUUACAUAAAAAAAGAUUAAAAAGCUGAUUUACAUUUAAAAAACAAGAUCGGGCAACAUCUAAAAUAGAUAACACAACCCGCUGAGAAAAGCUCUUUUCAUCAAUAAAGGAGAAGCAAAGGUGAUUAUACAUAACAAAACUAAUCUUCUAUAUUGCUUUAAUCACCUAAAACCACUUUAACUGUUUAUUUGGGAACUGUUACGUGAAAAAAAAAUAUUGCAUGCAAAAGUGUCUAAUUUUCAGGUUGCCAUAAAACAUAGACAGCGUCAGGAUCCUGCUCACACGUCCUCUGUUUAUCACCUGCUCUCUUCUCUGGAUCCCGUCUUCUCUUGGUUAUCAAAGUUUUCGCCAAUUACAAAUCUACGCAUUGCAGAACUUGAAAAUUUGCCACGUAAUUGGUUUAACAGAUGCUUCCAGAACAGCAGUUCUGUUUAUUGUUACAGCAUCUCAUGAACAAAGUAGAUUGUAAAGCCUUUUCCUUCCUGGACUGAGCAUCUACGUGGCAUUUUGAACUUUUUUUCGAAACAAAGAACAUAAUUACCUGAAUUUUAAUAUGUGCCAUGCCCAGCUCCUUUGUUAAUAUUUGCUAUUAUUGCGGGGGGGGGGGGGGGUUCAAGUUAUUUAUUCAUUAGUUCAGUACAUUCAUGAUUUGAACUUAAAGAAUCAAAAACACUGUUGGCAAAUCAAACUCCAAUAAAAAAUAUACAAAAAAAAGAAUCAAAAACACUUGAACAGAUCUCAAAAUUGGGGGCUCGACUGCCAUUAAUAUACAUCAAUGUUCUUAAAGCUUCUUGUGAAUCAUCCUAAAAAUUAAGAAGAAAAUUACAGUUAUCCCAAUCCCAAUUAUAAUUUAGGCUAAGAAAAACAAUCAGAAGCUAGAAAAUAGGAUAAAUUCCCAUUUCAGUUCCUUUACAAACAAGCAAUGAAAUACUAAUGAUAUCAAGAGAUUUUAGCAUACCAAGUGAUGGGGUUCAGGACACACUAACCCAAAAUAUGGCACCUCUGUAUAUUGAAUAUCUUAAGCUAAAGGAGUCUAAGAAACAGCAAAUGUAGGAAAGACUCUCUGACCUCCCCCUUCUCCCUGCAGCAGAUUAUAAGACCCUCAGUUGAGAGGCGCCCUCUCUGUCCCCAGAGGAAAGGAGCAGCCUUGUCUCCAAAGAGGAUGAAUCUGAACAAACAGGCCUUGCUAAGUUUCCCUCAGGUUGCUACCUUUAGCUCAUACCCCUUUGCCCUAUCACAUUUCCCUAUAAAUUUCAAUUCUUUAUCAAAUCUACUGUAAAAACACUCAGGGCCAACUGUUUGUUCAGGUCUUCAUUUCCUUAUGAAGGUUCCCAUGUCACAUAAAACUUACAUUAAAAUAUUAAGUGAAUGUGUAUGCUUUUCUCCUGUUCCUUUCUCCGCUGUUACAGGGGCCCCAGCUGAAAACCUAGAAAGGUAGAAGGAAAAAAUAUUUUUCCUUCCUACACAGCAAACCACAGAUCAAACAACAUGAAUAAAAACAAAAUUGAAAUUGAAGACAAGAAAGAAGAUAGAUUUGACUUGAACAGUUUUACAAGUUCCCACAAAACUCUCAAAUCCCUGUAGCCCUUGUGGAAAGUGCCUACUGUCUGUUAUCUACGACUGCACGUGUUUGUGAAUCAAAUAGCAAGUGUUUGUAUGUUAUAAAAGACUUCAAAUAUCUAGCCAAGUUGAGCAUCACUUUUUUUCUUAUCGAAUGAAUCCGAUUUCCCACUCAUUUCUAUUAUAAAUAGGAAAUGUGAUCCCACAGGAAACAAAGGAAGAGAGAUUAUGGCUUAAAAAGAAAAAGAAAAACAGAUAUGGCAAGAAAUUUUGCCACUAAUGUUCUCUAGGACUUGGGGUCAGAGGCUGAACCUCAGUGCAUCCUAGACCACCCUUCAGCAAAAGGACCUCAGUGACUUUCCUGCCAAGCUCUAAGAGAAAUGAAAAGAUGAACUAGAAACUGCAAGUCACUCUGGAUCCCUUGGAUAAAUAUAAAUAUAAAUAUUUAUUACUGUUGUUACUUCACAGUAAAAUGCUGCAGCCCCAGACACGACUAUUUCAACUAUACAUACAAAGCAACCAGGGAGAGAAGACAAGUUUGCUUUCACUAAGUACCGUAUGAACAGGAAUCAGUCAGCAUC